GAGAGGAUGCGAGGGAUUGGGUGAGAAUGACAAAGAUGUGAAUUCAUCAGUGAACAUGGAAAAAACAGUAGUUGAAACAUUAAUUCUCAAUUUCUGUAACAGCAGAUUGAUAGAUGAAGCAUAAAACAAGACCAGAUGCUGUGGUUUCCAGGAUGCACUUGGCUUCCCAUGCUUUAUAACCUGGAGCAUUUAUUGCUGCUCCAUUCCUACAGAUUUCACCUGACUAGGGGAGAAAAAGGAAGGAAAGACAUGGUUCAAAGACAGGAGAUGUGGAAUCAAGCCAUUUUACUGACCCAUGGUAAAAUACCAGAAAUGAGAGUAGUGCCGAAUAAACGUAAUUGA
rnacentral:lncRNA from 1 species